rnacentral:lncRNA from 1 species
GAUGGGUGAAAAGUGGGAUGAAAAUGGGUCAGGAAUGGGAGGAGAAUGGGGCAGAAACGGGAACAUAACGGGUCAAGAAUGGAAGAUGGGUGAAAAGUGGGAUGAGAAUGGGUGAGAAAUGGGAGCAGAGUGGGUCAGAAAUGGGAACAUCAGGGGUCAAGAAUGGAAGAUGGGUCAGAAAUGGGAAGAAAAUGGGUCAAGAAUGGAAGAUGGGUGAAAAGUGGGCUGAGAAUGGGUCAGAAAUGGGAGGAGAAUGGGGCAGAAAUGGGAACAUCAGGGGUCAGCAACAGGAGAUGGGUCAGAAAUGGGAAGAGAAUGGGUCAGAAAUGGGAACAUGAUGGAUCAAGAAUGAAAGAUGGGUGAAAAGUGGGAAGAGAAUGGGUCAGAAAUGGGAACAUAACGGGUCAACUAUGGGAGAUGG